UUUCCGUAGGUGAACCUGCGGAAGGAUCAUUAUUGUAUAACCGAGGUGCGAGGGCUGUCGCUGACCCGAAAGGUCGUGCACGCCCGAUGGCCCUCCCACACAUCCAUCUCACCCCUAUGUGCACCACCGCGUGGGUCCCCCUUUGGCUUGUUCGGAGGGGGGCUUACGUUUUCACACAAACUUUGUAUGCAGUGUAGAAUGUAUUUUUUGUUUUUGCGAUCACGCAAUCAAUACAACUUUCAACAACGGAUCUCUUGGCUCUC
rnacentral:misc_RNA from 1 species